rnacentral:lncRNA from 1 species
UGCACAAGACUUCCCUGGGUCUUUAGAAAGUGUUACCCCUUAUUUCAAACUCCAUAAAUGCAAAUCGACUGGCCAACUGACCUAGAGUUCCACACCCCUUAUCUAGAAAGCUGAGGGACAUGUUUGAGCAUAUAUGGGAAUCCUGUUGCACUCCACAGCUCCCACUGCCAUCCCCCCAGUUACAGGCCACUUGGUUAUGAUGAUCGGUCCAGACUAAGUUUUGUGGAUGAUGGAUGAUGAUGGCUGCAUGAAAGCCCUUAAGCCCCUCUUGAGUUCGAGACCACAGCUGUUAGGAAUGAUGCUAAGGCUCAAAUCCAUGCAAAGAUCAAGUAUCUUUUCUUCCUCCGAAUUCUCUCUUUCCUUUGCUUAGAAAAUGAUCUAUUCUUCUAUGAAAGGCGGCAGUAAUGCAUUCUACCAAACAUGCUUUAUGAAUUUUUUAUCUGAACUUUCACAGUCUCUAACACUGACAGAAAGCCUUUGUUAUUCUUUCUCACGUCUAGGCCAAGUCAGUCCUAAAAUUGAUCGACACGAGCCCUCAGAACAAAAGGAGAGGACGGUGUGCACACUGAGUGGUAACUUGACAUUUUCUAUUCAUGAUUCAUAUGAUCAACCUCUAUUGAGCCUUUAUUAGGCAAUAAGGAUACACGUUUUAAAAAAUGAGAUAGACCUCAUCUUCAAGGAUCUUACAUUCUGCUGAGGAUAUAAAACAGAUUCUCAGGAGAGUAAAGGAUAUAAUUAAAACAACAACAACAAAGUGAUGACGGGAAAGGAAGAGAGAGAAUAUUGGGAAAAACAAAGGCUCAAAAAAGAGCGGCACUUGAGCCUCGAAGGGAUUUAGGAGCUCCAAUAACCAAAGGUGAGGCAUGAAGGGGGAAAUAGCGAUGAAUGGGAGAACCACCAGCAGGUCAGUU